rnacentral:rRNA from 1 species
AUUGAACGCUGGCGGCAGGCCUAACACAUGCAAGUCGAGCGGAGCGGCGGACGGGUGAGUAAGGGCUAGGUAUCGGCCAGGUAGUGGGGGAUAAGGUUCGGAAAUGGGCGCUAUAACCGAUAACUCUCAGAUGAGCAUAGGUGGGAUUGGCUAGUUGGUGGGGUAACGGCAUACCAAGGCGACGAUCCGUAACUGGUCUGAGAGGAUGAUCAGUCACACUGGAACUGGGACACGGUCCAGACUCCUACGGGAGGCAGCAGUGGGGAAUAUUGGACAAUGGGCGAAAGCCUGAUCCAGCCAUGCCGCGUGUGUGAAGAAGGCCUUCGGAUUGUAAAGCACUUUCAGUUGGGAGGCGUUACCAGCAGAAUAAGCACCGGCUAACUUCGUGCCAGCAGCCGCGGUAAUAC